UAGUCAUAUGCUUGUCUCAAAGAUUAAGCCAUGCAUGUCUAAGUCCAAGCUGUGUUCACACGGCGAGACCGCGGACGGCUCAUUAAAUCAGUCGUGGUCCAAAUGGGCCAGUGCAAAUCCUACUUGGAUAACUGUGGUAAUUCCAGAGCUAAUACAUGCAACUGAUAUCCCGAAGGCGGUGUUGGGGCUUGCUUGCCUUGCGCUGCGCUGCUCUGACGGAUGCUUUUAUUAGACCAAGCCGCUGAGGACUUGAGGGUUCGCGCUCUCUUGUUUGACUCGUGUGAUGGUGACUCUGGAUAACCAAAUUCUGACAAGCGCACGUACUUCUCUUCUGAGCGAGACGGCGCUGCCACUUUCGAGUGUCUGCCUUAUCAGCUAUCAACCGUUCGUUAUGCGCGACCGAUGGCUUUGACGGGUAACGGGGAAUCAGGGUUCGAUUCCGGAGAGGCAGCCUGAGAGACGGCUACCACGUCCAAGGACGGCAGCAGGCACGCAAAUUACCCAAUCCCAGCAAAUGGGGGAGGUAGUGACGAAAUCUAACGAUGCGGGCGCCCUUUCUGGGGCCCCGCAAUCGGAAUGGGCACUUUCUAAACAACCUG
rnacentral:rRNA from 1 species